ACACGCCUCGCUACACUAAGCUGCACGGGCAGACAAGUGCAAACACCAUUCAUCACCGUGGCCCUGGCCGAGGGGACUUUGGUCCUCUACACACACACAUGCCACAUUAAGCCAUAGCAUCUCGACCCUGCUGUGUUCAUGAAGAGGCCUUUGGCACAUCAGGAAAAGAGCAGUCACGACUUGAACAACAAGCGAGCUCCCACUGAGCGGAGCCGGUCCGGUGGCCAACAGUCACCACGAGCUGCCAACGCGCUAAACGCUUGUUACUUUUUCCAGGAGUCUCUGUGCUUCACCACACACUCCACCUUUCCCAGUCAUCUGACAUCACCGUUUGUUUGAUCAGGACGGGCAAUAAAGUUCCCAUCUGGUUUCCCUGACUGGGACUCAGGGCUGAGAGUUUGGGAGAGGGGAGGGGGGGGGGGGGUUCAUUUUUGUGGAAAACCACAAAGAGAAAGAAACAGUCCUUAAAAAAAAAAAAGCAAAGGGUCUUAUCUGAUCCUCUCGGGAUUUAAAGUUCACAAAUGGAAUUAGGAGCUGGAACGCUGCAGCGUACAGAAGAAGAAACCAUCUCAUGGCAGUGGAGCCGCAGACGACAACAUCUGAAGCAGAACCAGUCGGAGAGUCAGUCACAUUUCCACUGACUUCGUGUAUGGCUUCACUUACGGCUGCGUACUUCUGAAACAGGAAUAUUUUUUAAGACUGGUUGGACAUAAAAAAAAGUUGUGGACGCUCGUGUGUUUAGAAACUGUUCCAGAGGAGAACUCCAGCAGAAAGAGAGCCACACAGCUCCAGACCAGGGGAGGGGGGGACUUUGGGAGGUUUUCUCACAGAGGUGAAUAGUUUCAUCCAUGCAGUCCCUGCUGAGCAGUAAUUUAUUCCAGUCAGCAGCAGCAUUAUGAGCAAUUUUUAAAUCAGGGACCUUGUGCAACUUCAAACACUUCUACACUUUUCCUCCUCACUGUGUAGAUCCAGGGUGUGUGCACUGAUCCCAGUUCAGGACAAUCUAAGGAUAGUUAGUUACAUUUGUUUGUUUUUUCUGAUGACACCAAAGUGGAGAGAACACAUCGAUGAUGGGGCUAUUUGUUGUUUGCACUUUGCUAAACGCAGCAGAUCAGAGGACUGGAGUUAAAGAUCUGCUGCUGUCUUCUCCUGCAGCGGUUUGACUCCCGCAUGACAAAGCCCGCAGAUGUAGCCAAUUAGCCAUCACUGGGUUUUCUAAUUCUCAUUACUAAAGACGCUCUGGUUGGGGUUUUAAGGAACCAUGCAACCAGCGCGACUACACUGGGACGGACAGAUGUUCCCAGUCCCUGCCAGUUUCUAAACAUCCAAACAUAAGAAACUCGCUCACAAAGAAAAAGAAGGAAAAACCCCAACCCCCCUCCUCCUCCUCCUCCUCUUCCUCCUCCUGCUGGAAGAAGUGAGGAGGAAUGAAUGAGCUGGGGAAGCGGACGCUCUAGUCUGCAAAGUUAACUUCUGAGAAAGAGGAAAAAGUUGCAGGGGAAAGAAGAUCCUCCUCGCGUGGUGUGGAGUGGACACAGAGAAAGUUUCGCGUCAAAGCAAAAAACCACGAGAAGCUGCCGAACUUGCCUCUUUUAUCUCUGCACGAGUUGCUCCCUUGUUGUCGUGUUUUUGGUCCUAAAUCCACUCAGAGUCCCGGGUCGAUCCUCCAGGUCCGGAGCGGCUCCCUGGUAAUAACCAAAAAAAAAAGAGAAGCCCUGUUCCCCGCUCGGCUUCGUGCUGAAA